UCGAACGGUAACAGGAAGAAGCUUGCUUCUUUGCUGACGAGUGGCGGACGGGUGAGUAAUGUCUGGGAAACUGCCUGAUGGAGGGGGAUAACUACUGGAAACGGUAGCUAAUACCGCAUAACGUCGCAAGACCAAAGAGGGGGACCUUCGGGCCUCUUGCCAUCGGAUGUGCCCAGAUGGGAUUAGCUUGUUGGUGGGGUAACGGCUCACCUAGGCGACGAUCCCUAGCUGGUCUGAGAGGAUGACCAGCCACACUGGAACUGAGACACGGUCCAGACUCCUACGGGAGGCAGCAGUGGGGAAUAUUGCACAAUGGGCGCAAGCCUGAUGCAGCCAUGCCGCGUGUAUGAAGAAGGCCUUCGGGUUGUAAAGUACUUUCAGCGGGGAGGAAGGGAGUAAAGUUAAUACCUUUGCUCAUUGACGUUACCCGCAGAAGAAGCACCGGCUAACUCCGUGCCAGCAGCCGCGGUAAUACGGAGGGUGAAAGCGUUAAUCGGAAUUACUGGGCGUAAAGCGCACGCAGGC
rnacentral:rRNA from 1 species